GUAAAAGUCGUAACAAGGUUUCCGUAGGUGAACCUGCGGAAGGAUCAUUAUUGAAAUAAACCUGAUGGGUUGUUGCUGGCUCUCCAGGGAGCAUGUGCACGCCUUGUCAUCUUUAUAUCUCCACCUGUGCACCUUUUGUAGACCCAGGAUAUUCUUAUCCAGGUGUCUAUGUUGCCUCUUCAUUUACCCCAAUGUAUGUUAAUAGAAUGUUGUGUCCAUUGAUAUAAUCUAUACAACUUUCAGCAACGGAUCUCUUGGCUCUCGCAUCGAUGAAGAACGCAGCGAAAUGCGAUAAGUAAUGUGAAUUGCAGAAUUCAGUGAAUCAUCGAAUCUUUGAACGCACCUUGCGCUCCUUGGUAUUCCGAGGAGCAUGCCUGUUUGAGUGUCAUUAAUAUUAUAUAUCAAACCCUCUUUUUUGUUGAAGUGGGUUUUGGAUGUGGGGUUGCUGGCCUCUUUUGAAGGGGUCAGCUUCCCUGAAAUGCAUUAGCAGAACAACCUGUUCAUUCAUUGGUGUGAUAACUAUCUACGCUAUUGAACCGUGAAGGCAAGUUCAGCUUCCUAACCGUCUUUGGACAACCUAUCAUCUAUAUGUGACCUCAAAUCAGGUAGGACUACCCGCUGAACUUAAGCAUAUCAAUAAGCGGAGGAAAAGAAACUAACAAGGAUUCCCCUAGUAACUGCGAGUGAAGCGGGAAAAGCUCAAAUUUAAAAUCUGGCGGUCUUUUGGCUGUCCGAG
rnacentral:rRNA from 1 species